rnacentral:lncRNA from 12 species
UUUUGCCCUACAAGGAAGCCAGGGCAUCAGCACAGUGACUAGUACCUUUCUUCUAGUUCUCAGCACCUCCACCUCUCCCAACAUCCAGCUGGCAUCAAUUGUCAGCAUUGUCCUGCAGUAACACUGCUAUCUCUCAGCUUCCAGGAGAUGUUCCACAGCACACCUAGCUGAACUGGUGGCUGGGUGUCCCUUGUUCCUCGUGCCUGCUGCCUGGCUGAGCUGGCUCUCUGCCUGACCUCCUUUGUGUGCCACUGCCUCUGCCAGCCCCCCACCUGACAGGCUCCCCCUCGGCUCACACCAGCCUGCUGUGCAGGGCAAUGACAGUUUUUUUGUGUGCUCCUCUCCCACAGGAGGAAGAGCUGAGGGGGCUUGGUGUGGAGCGAGGCACAAGGAUGCUGUGCGUGGCUGCUGGAUGUGAAGGUCCUGCUGGUGCUGGGCAGAAUCUUUCACAUGCAUUUCCCACCCUCCAUCUCUGUCCUAGGACCUGCAGAGGGGGAGCUGGGCAAUGCCUCCUCCUGUUUCGUUUGCCCUGCAACUGGAGAAUGUCCUUCUCCAGAAAUGUCAGCCCGAGUCAAGCAGCUUUCAUUAGCUAAAUUCGCUAAUGGCAUUGACUUACUUUAAAUGCAUUUCCCCUUUCAGAAUCUCUGCCCUUUGUCAGUGGGAUGGGGCUGGUCUCCUUUUGAGUUUGAAAUGUGGAAACCUUUCUUCUCACUUGCCAGAUGAGCUCUAUGUUGGAUGUAGCAAAUGCAGUUUGAUAUCUCCAGCCGACUGUCUCCUCUCUGUUGUGUAUCUCAUCCCGUAAACUCUUCUCAACCUGGAGGCAAAAGCUGAAAUGUCACAAAGCAGGCAGCUGCUUCUUCCUAAAACACCUGUGAGUCAGUCCCCAGUGGGCAUGAAGAUGAAGAUAACCUAGAAG